GUGCUCUGGCAUUUUUCUUCUUUUGUAAUCCAAUUGAUACAUGGGUUGUUCAGUUUUGGAUGAUCUAUGUAUGUAAUUAAUUUCUAGGUCUUUGUGGAUUUUGGAUGCUUAUCUUUUAGAUCGGUGUCCCCCCCCCCUUUUUCUCUUUGGUUUAAAUUGUUUUAUAUUUUAUGAGUUCAGGUUUUGCUGCUAAAUUAUGUCUGGAACACAAUUUUAGCCUCUUUUGUUUAGAUCAUGAUGAAAGUUCAAGAAAAAGAUGCUGAAUUGUUUUUAGAAUUUCUUGUUUCUUUUAAUUAUUAGGGUUUAGCACCUGGAGCUUGAUUCUGUCAUUUAUAUUUCUGCAUAAUUAUAUGAACUUUAUGGUUUUUAAUUUGAUAAUGCUGGCAUGAAUGUUUGUCUGAAAUGAAUUUUAUGCAUGAUGUGCAUGAUAUUGUAGGCAUCAUAAGUAAUAUCUAUUAUUUCUCAAAUUUACACUUGACUGGAGAUUGAAUUUGAAGUUGACCAAGUUAAACUUUUAAGAUGAUUUUUUAAAAAAAAAAUUGCUGUGAAGAAUAUAAAAUCUUGAAUCAACCUGAUUUCUGAAUGUUAGUUCGUAUUUUCUUUCAUUUGAGAUGAACUCUACCUGAAUAAUCAUGGAUGCACACUGUUAUGUGGCCUGAGUUGUUGUUCUUUAUCCAUAAAACAGCAUUCGUGAUGGUGAAAGCAUAUGCGCAAGAGCACAUUUACAAACAUCCGUGGGAGCGAGUAACUUCUGCAUCUUGGCGUAAGUUCGCUGACCCUGAAAACAAGCGUACCUUGUCUCAUAUUCUAGAAGUUGACACAUUGAAUCGCAAACUCGAUCCUCUCUCCGGUAAGCUUUACACUACUCGGGCUCUUACCAUCCAUGCUCCAGGGCCAUGGUUUGUUCGCAAAAUCGUUGGCCAGGACAUCUGCCACUGUGUUGAAUCAACAGUGGUUGAUGCCCAAUCAAAGUCAAUGCAACUUGCAACCCGUAAUGUCAGUCUUCAGAAGUUUAUAGAGGUAGAGGAGAAGAUAAGGUAUGAUCCUCACCCAGAUAAUCCAACAGGAUGGACCAUUUGUCGACAGGAGACUAGCAUUCGUAUUAAGCCAUUAUCAGCUCUGGCAUCCAUGGCUGAGAAAGUGGAGCAACGAUGUGCUGAGAGGUUUAUGCAAAAUAGUGUGAAGGGAAGAGAGGUUAUGGAGAGGAUCUGCAAGUAUCUUGAAGCUGAAUCUAGUGGGAUGGCUCUAUAACUCUGACUUUGUGCACUUGAAGCUUUAAUUGCUUCUCUUACAGAUUAGGAAAUAAGUAACACAAGAAUGCCAAGUUUAACUUUAAUUUUGAAUGCCCUUUUUGGACUUGGUGCAAAUUUUGAUGUAGUCCGUAUCUAGUCUCCUACUAUAGAAGUUUAUGAUAUUAUAAAUGCGGCGGAGCAUUUUGCGGAUAGAAUUCAAUUACUUUCGGAGUCAGAGAUGCUCUUUGGAUCCCCAUAGUUUUGCACAUUAAACAAAACGCAAUAAUCUACUCCAUUGGUUAGCACGUCCAAAGCAUAUGUUAACUGUAUUGAUUUAAGAGCAAUGUCGAUGGUAACCAACAGGUUACUAGUGAAACUAGGGGUCAAUCUCCCCUAAAUAUUUGCUAGCUUUACCUGCACAACAUAAACUCUAUAUUUGGCGGUCCAGAAGGUGAAACUUUAGGGUCAAUGUAACGAGAGUGGGCAUAGAAUGGACGCAUGAAAUGCAGCAAAGCCGAAAAAUGACCAGAUAUCGAAUCCUGAGCUCCAUAUACUUGUAGAUCAUGCAUAAAUGCAAUCUAUCAUGAUAUUCAUGACCCAUGUUCUUUCUCCAUAAUAUAUAUCUAUAAAUAUAUUGACAAUUAUCAUCAAAAUUGUGAACUUGUGAAAGGCAAGUAACAUAAAAAAAUAAACACUUCGAAGCAGAAAGGUUCACGACUUUCAAUUGAGAAAACCCUUUGUGUGUCAAACCUCUCUUAGUUCCGAUGGCCAACCCCAAAGUGAAACCUCUUUGCCUGCCUGUCGUUAAAAGCAUAUUCGAGUCGCAAAGGCCCUAAAGGUGAGUCCACUCGGAUGCCAAAACCAUAUCCAUAUCCACUUCCAGGCUUAUAUCUUGCCCCUGCAGGAUCACCUGAAAAACCAAAACAAACAGUUCAUAGGAAAGAAAGAAUGUUACAAGGGCAGAGAUUUCACAAGCAGAUUAAAUAAGAAAUGAAAGCGAAGAUUAAUCAGAACAGACUUACCAGGCACACUGGGGCCCGACCAUAGAUCAUGUCCAUAAUCAGCAAAAAUAACACCUUCCACAGGCCCCAGCUACACAACAGCAAAAAUAUAAAAUAAGAUAAUCAACUGAAUAGAAGAAUUCUCCAAGCAUUUUGAAUUUUUUCUUACAUCUUUCCCACUUCCUUUUUCUUAAACCGUAUUAUCUUAUUCCCACCUAUCAUCACUGUCAAGUCGGGAUUGAAAAGAAAACAAAGAAUAAUGAAAAUGGGUAAAACUGGAAAAAGAAAAAAGGAGAGGCAAUAGUGCAAUGGAAGCAAUGGAGCUUCAAAGGCCAGUGGCCUGUGCAGCACCAGUGCAGCUGGAAGCACUCUAAUUGUGCUGCUAGACUCUUGCUGAACAGACGCAGAACCUUGCUCCGAAACAUGCUCAUCACACUGUAAUGGCUCUGCCAAACAGAGCCUAGGUGCAAGGAAUCCUUACAGCAAGCACAAGAUACUCAUGAAGCAACAAAAGAAGAGGCAGGAUUUUUAUGCACCUACCAUUGGGAAAGAAACUUCACUAGAUCCAACUACAUAAGAUCGUCCGGAGCCCACAGCACCUUCUUCAUAACCUCUCACACUGUUUGUUCCACCAAUAGCAAACGCUUCGUGAGGAGAAAAACUUCCCACCACUUUCCCACCAGACAAACUAGCAAUAAAGAACAGAGCAAGUCAGCAAACCAUAUGGCAACACUCUCCAACUGUUUCCCCUUCAAUUUCUUUCUUUGGAUAAAUAUUUAAGCUCAGGGAUGAUUACCAUCCAAAUAUAAACCAUUACAAUUAUAACAUAUCGUUCCAUGUAUACAUGAAAAAGUAAAUAAUAAGCAUAAUACCUUAAAAGAAGGCGAGUAGGACCAAUUUCAACACCUUUUCUUGCCCGAGCAUUCACUCUGUUGAAGAACAGCCACUCAGGCAUGACAGGAAGCCCUUGUUCCAUGUUAAAUGCAAACUGCAAAGGUAACAGAAGUUAGGCCCAUCCAUGUCAGAAGAGAUGAAAAGCCACAGGGUGCAGAUGCUAACCAUGGAGGAACCUUGAUCACCAGAACCAGUAUAGACACAUUCAAAUUUAGCCACUAACAUAUCGUCGUAAGGCUUACCACUACAUUAAGAUUUCAAUUUAAAAAAGGGGGAUUUAAUAGAUGAUUAGAAGCAAGCAAAUAAAAUUAAAAGAAUACUGAUAACAGCAAACUAAUGCUGUAAAUGAAUCUUAUAGAAGCUAUAAACACAAGGCCACAGACAUACAAACCUUGCUGUAAGUGGGCUGCCAUAGAAGUCCUUGAUAAUUGGAUUUCCUUUUUCAUCACGAGCACCAGCAUGCUGCAUGUUUAUAUAUUAUAAAUAAAUCAUAUAACUGAAACAUAACCCAUAAUCCCCCAAAAUAUCAAAUUCAAGUUCAGAAUUAAAGGUGCUUGUAGGGUGCUACUUUUCACAAACUUCUCUUUGAAGGAAAAACAGAACAAACAAAGAACCUAUGGAAUGAAGUAACAUUCCAUACCUGAAAAAUAAGACCCGCUGUCCCACUCCAUUUUGGCCUCAGUGGUCGACUAAACUCUAUACCAGCUGUUACACGGCCAAUGCUCAGACUGCUAUUGUCAUGUUGGUUACCAUGCACAAGUGUCCCUGGGGUUCUUGAAUUCUUUUAAAAAAGAGAGAGAGAGCUCAAUGUAGAAAUCAACCUUCCAAUUAUUUAAAAAGUAAAAGCAAAACCCACCUGGAUAAUUAUUGUUCUAGAUGUCCUCUUAUCAUCUCCUUCAAUCCAUGGGUCUGUAUAGUUAAUUCGGAAUAUAGAGUCGAUUUGGCCCCUCUCUAAGGAAAUAUUAAGCUUUUGGUUUCUUCCAAACAAAUUUCUAUGAGAAUAUGCAAAGCUGCACAUAGGACAUGACAAAUGAGACAAGAUCAACAGCAUAAAACAUUGCAUCAGAUAAAUAUAGAAGACUCAAAUUCCUCUCCCUUUAAUCUCAAGAACAAUAGGACAGGAAUCAAGCAAUGCUAAAAGCUCAAAGCGACAUAAAAAGGUCAGUGAGAUGAAACAUAACAUUUGUAUGCACAAAUCAAAUGGAACCACAAAAGGAGUAAGAUGAAUGGCACAUAAGGAAUCAGCCAGGAACUAAAUAUGCUAUGUUACCUUCCAAUAAGUCCUGAUAAAGGGCCACUUGUAAUCCUGCAAAAUUACAGAUCACUUGCAUAAAUAUUAUUUAAGAUAUACCACAGAUAAAUAAGUACGGACUUUACUAGCUAAAUUAGGUAGAACAUGUAGAAUUGCAAUUUAAACUAGCAAGACUUACCCGCUUGAUAUUCCACCACCAGCAGAAAAACCACCACUUGGACGUUCAACAACAUUCAUUACCAAAUCAACUUUACCAGCAUCUAAAAUGUUUACAAUCAAACGAUAAUAGACAAAUAAAUGCAUAGAAAAGCUCUGAAAAUUUUAGCAUCUUUACUUGCAAACUAUUACCGAAAAGAAAAAAGAAAAAAAAGCAUGUCAUGUGAUGCCUUUAAAAUCAAUUGGCAUCAAAUCCUGUAUAGGAAAAUACAAAUGUAUUCCAUUGGUUUCAAGUUUCAACAAAAGCUUUGUGCUACCCUAGCAACUAAAAUAAGUCUUUAUGGCAACUGAAAAGUAGAAAAAAGAAAAUCUUACUGCCAGAUCAUCGAAAAUUUUGACUUAAUCUAGUUGACACUUUUGCUCUUUUUUGGGGGACUAUUUAUCCCUUGUUUUCAGUUCCUUUAUAUUUUUAUUUUUAUUUUAUUUUAUUGCUUUUCAUUAUCUAUCACACACAAAAAAAAAAAGCAAGAACUAAAAGCACCUAUAGUAUAAAGCCUUUGUCUUCCAAAGCCAAUAUUCAACAGAACAUGUGUUCUUAGAAGCAUUGGAAAUUUCUUAGGACCAUACAUUCAAAAUAGAUACAAGAAACCUUUGUAAAAAGAAAGCGAGUAUGGGAGUAUUUCAGACAAAUACAAAUGGUAGCCAUAUUCUAAAAGCUUAACGGAAAUUCCAUGUCAAUCUGUUCUCGUAUCUAUUUUGAAGUCACUAAGAAAGAUUUCCAUCAAUUACAAUGGGAAUAAACAAAUCAAAUAACAUUUAAUUUGCUAAUACUACUGUUUACUAUAACAUGAUUACGGUUACGCCAAUCCAUAAUAACAAUCCAGAAUAAACCAGUGCACGUUGCUGUUGUAACAUAAUAUUUACUACCAUAACAAUACUAAUCUAGAAUAAAAUUCAGUGACAUUCUUGCUAUUGCAUUAUUAUUACCCUGAAUAUUCUGCAUUAAUCAAGUAAAUGUAUAAAACAUUAACCAAAAACUGACUAGGAGAAUGCACAUUAAAUACAUGUUCAGGAACUAGAUUAAACAUUUUCAGGAACACAACAUACAAUUUUGUGCAAGCUUCUUUAAAAGACAUACUCACUCACCUCCAGCCGGUUGAGGUAUGAUACUGACAUCUGCCAUAAGACCCAUAGUUGACACUGUAUCCACAUCUCUUUUUCCUUGAAGCAUACUAUACACCUAUAAGAGGAUCAUUCGAAGGAAGCAACACAAGAUAGUCAGGACAGUGGUGCUCACCACAAGCACUCUUCUUUGAUAAGAAUAGACUAGCUUCAUGAUUAAUCAUCAAUUAAAAACCUAUGCACGUAACAAAAGCUGGACCUAGGAUCACACCUGUCCCUUCUUGGUAGUGAGUUGCCUAAGUAUUGUUUCAGGCUUUGUCUUCCCUUUAGUUGGUUCACCACUGAAACAAUUACAAGCUUUUGCAGUCAUAUAUCCCAAUACUAAUAAAUCCAAAAGUCCGAUAUACAUGUUUUGGAGUCUGCCUAUUUAAGUAAACACACACCCAAGUGUGCAUAAAGCAAACUGAAGGAAGCUUCUUACGUCUUUCGAUCAAGGAAGCGUAUGGAUAUAUUGUUGACCUCAGCUUCUGCAACUUGUAACCUUAUAAUACCUCCAGAAAAAAUAUCAACUCCAGAAACCUAUAAGUUCAAAGGACAGUUUAAACAACAUGGUUUGUCUUCAAAGACUAACAAAUAGAACAUUUGCAAGUACAAAUUAAAGAACCCAGCAAGGCAAGGUACUAACCAAGCCAAAAAGACCACGUUCCAUAUACCAUCCAUUGAUGGAAUUAAUUACUUCAUCCAAACGCUUGAGAUUUACCACUUUUCCUGCACAGCUUGACACCAAAAGUGAAAAUAAUGAAGGCCUCCUAUGACCAUAAUUAACAAGCAGCUCAUCAAGCUAAUCAUCUAAGAGCAAGUCCGUCCAUACUUAAGAAUGCAAAAAGAAAACUUACCAUGUCCUUCACGAAAAGCAUCCUCAAGAAACUUUGAUGGAAGAACAUUGGCUCCUUCACAGACCAAUCCGUGGAACUCCUGAUUUGGUUCUACCUUAUGCCACAAGAAGCCAAUGUCAACCAAAUCAGUAUUGUGUUUCUCCAUGUGCCUAAGUUAUGGGCAUAUAAUGCCCAAGACAGGAGCAAAAUGUUGAACUAAAAGUGAAAAAAAAAACUAUGAAACAUGAAAGGGCAGCCAAAACUAGCAUUUAUACUUUUGCUCGCAGCAUAUGAUUAUGAGACUAUCUCAUUCUAUUAAGUUUUCCCAGAGACACUCCAUAAAGUAAGCAUGUGCUCUACUUUACUGAAAACAGAUGACAACAAAGACAGAACAAAGGGGGCACAGAACAGACAAUUUACUUCCAAUUCCCCUAAAUUCUAACAUAGAAGAAUAGACUGGUGCAAAAGAGAUCACUGACCUAAGCCCCCAACUCCAUCCUAACCAUAUAAAGACAUGUGUAUGUGCAUGUCUGGUGAACUAGCGGCCACUGUCCUCCAGUAGCAGCAGUCUCCAAGACUGCACUAUGCUGCUACGACCCUGAGAAUUUGAAUCAGGCUCGUAACAGCCAGAAGAAACAUAGUAACAGUCUGUCACAGUCAUAGUGGCCUGGGAACCUAACAGAUGUUUUCCAUUUCCAAUCACAAGCCUUUUCUCCCCCUGUUUUUUCUUUAUGCUUCUGUUUUCGCCAAAAUCAUCCUUUACAUUUCGACACCCUCCCUUUCAUUGGUUUACCCACUUUGCCUCACCAACAACGGUCUUGUUCCAAGGCCUUAAGACAAAUUUCUGCUUCCAAGGCCAGUUUCUAGAUUCAAAUGGAAUGUUAUCCAUUGCAAUGACCUAAAACCUAGCAGCUCAACUCCAUAUCAAUUCUCUAUUUAGAAUCCUAUGAUUGUUCAAAACAAGUAGGAAAAAAAAAAGAAACGACACCAAAAUGUAAAUAAAAUGAAUUUGGCUUGAGACAAAAUACUUGAAACACCAAUCUGAUACCAUCCCGCGUGUCAACGGCCACAGGCAUACAGGAAGAGAAGUAACCGCUAUCGAUGAUCCGGUGGACAUCUUCCUGAACCUCCCGCACCGUCAAAGCAGAGUUGGCUCGGCAAGCUUUCAACGCGGUAAGGGCUUCCAUUUCGAGGUCUUUCCGCUCCAACUCCUCUCCAUCUUUGUUCCUGACAAGAACCUCGCUUAUCAAAACCCUCUCCUCGUCGUAACGACCAGCAGUAGUGGACUGUCCCUUCUGAGGCACCUCCGAACCAGACUGAGUGGAGUCGGGAGGAUUGGGUUGAGACAGGGACAAGGAAGCGGAACAUAGCAGAGGCGCAUUAACAAGGUCGUAGGUCUGGGCUGUUAGAGAGAGAGACGCACAGCAUAGUAGGGGAGAGUGAGUGGAUGUGGUAGGAGGGAGGGAGCGAUUCCUGAGGGAGUGAAGGAGUUGGAAAAGGGAGUGACGAGCUCUGGAGAGGGGAGAGGCUAGGGUUUGGGAGGGAGAAGGGACAGGGAUUUUGAAAGAAGAGGAGGUGAAACAAACGCCAUCGUUGCGAUGCAUUGCGGAUGGGGAUAUGAAGAAAUGAGUUCCUCAAUACUCAAAUGCUAUCUAUGAGAAUGAAUACUGCACACCGUGCAACAAUUUUGGGGGUUGAGAAAUUUGAGGUGUUAUUGUUUUAGUUAUAGAAGGGAGGAAAGGAACGACAUUAACAUUAGUUGCCUAGUACUGGUAUAACACAAACUCUCAUUGUGGUUGGGCUAGGGUUUUUAUGAAGCAAUCAAUCUAAACAGGUUUCGAGUAAAAUUAGGAUGAGCAGCUCAUUGGCCCUUCCAUUUCUGAGCCUCUCAGCUCCCAAAUUUUUUACUCUCUUUCCUUUUGUCGAGAUUGGGUUUGCAAUUCCAUUGUGUUUAAAUCAUAUUUAAAUAGAAUAAACUACACCAAUUCCAUUAAACUAUCAUGAAAUUUUCAUUUUGGUUAUUUAAUUUUAAAUUUCAGAAAUUUUUUGUUUAAGUUACUAAACUAUUCAAAAAAAAUUAUUUAAGUUUCAAAUGAAGAUUCGACAAUUAAUGCAGUAGAUUAAAACAUAUCGAUGAGUAAAAAAAUAUAAUUUAGAUCCAAGUUGAUAAGAUGGUCGCUGUCGGAUAUCAAAGAAGAAAGUUAUUUGAGUUUGGUUAACUGAUUCAUGUUGUUAAAAGGUGUUUCAUGAAAAAGAAAAUUUGAUUGUUAAAAGAGAAAACGAAAGAGAGCUUUUAAUUGGUGUAGACAAUACAAAUAGAAAACAUCAUGCUGUAGAGACUUUAAUAGUUAAGUGACUUAAAUGAAAACUUUCAAAUAAUUUAAUGAUCAUUUUAUAAUUACUUUAAAAUUGAAAAACCAAAAUAUAAAUUUAUUAAUGAUUUAAUAAUUUAAGACCCACUAAUUUAAGAUAAUAAACUACAAAUUUUCAAAUAAUUCAGUAAUUUAAAUAAAAAAUUUUAAAUAUCUGUUUUUAAGAUUUUCAGUUAGCAGUGAUUGACCAUCCACUAGCUAACGUGGAGUACACUCUACUGGGUGUAAGGCCAAGCCCAACGGUUGACGACCAAAGUCAUCCAACUUGAAAAUGGCCGAUUAUCAUUGAUCAACAAAACGUUGAUAUAGUAGCGAGCUGACUAGAUUUUUUUUCACUUUUAAAGUAGGUGAUGAGAAGGUAUAAUAUAAGAAAGGAAAAAGGAAGAGUAGCACAGCUUAGAAAGAUAAAGGGGUCAGUAAACUUUGGAUUUGCCCUAAAAGAUGACAUAUCCCAUUCUGGAGCAAUUCAAAUAAUGUGGCCAUGCUCAGGAUUAUGUAUUUUUAACAUUAUAGAUUAAGAUUUGAACCCUAAUAUUUAAUAUCAGCAUAAGAUUUUCUUUACUACUCACUCCGUUAGAUUGUUGGUGGUUUAAGAAGAAGAAACUUAUCAAUUUGGGACCAUCUAAUUUCUCUUUUUCUUUUUGAGGAGCCCCUACUGGACCAUGGGAAUAAUUUUUAAAAUUAUAUAUAUAUAUAUAUAUAUAUGAAAUUUCCCGUCGGUUUAAGAAAAUAAAUUUGAUUUUCAUUAUAAAAAUUCGAAAUCGUCUGAAUUUAUAUAUAUAAAUAAUAUAUAUUUAUAUUUGAAUUUACAGAUAUGCUCGUCUGUCUGUAUCAAAAAAGUUAGAGUCUUACCAAUACACGCGACACUUCUAUUAUAAGUUUCUAAAUAAAAAGGAUUUAAUUUUAAAAAUUUUAAUAAAAAUGUUAGAUAAUUUAGUAAAUCCAUAUAAAUAUCGGUAAAGUCUUAGAUAUUUCGGUAAAUCCAAAAUGUUAAUUGAUUUGGUAAAAUUUUAGAUAUUUUGGUAAAUCUAUAUAAAAAUUGGUAAAUCAAUACAAAUAUUGGUAAAGUCUUAGAUAUUUUGGUAAAUCCAAAGAAAUAUUGACCAAUUCAAAUCAUUAAAAAUAAGGGUAAAGUAACAAAAAUUUUGGUAAUUGUUAAGACUUGUAUAGGGUUAGAAAAUUUGGAAAUAUUGGUAAAAUCUUGGAAAUUUUGGUGAAGUCUCAUAAAUAUUUGUAAAUCUAUAGAAAUUUUGACAAAUUGUUAGAUAUAUUGGUAAAUCCUUAGAAAUAGUAGUAAAUUGUCAAAUAUUUUGGUAAGUCCUUAAAAAUUUUGGUAAAUGGUAAAUCAUUAGAUAUAUUGGUAAAUUGUUAGAAAUAUUGGAAAAUCGUUAGAUAUAUUGGUAAAUCAUUAGAUACUUUGGUAAAUCAUUAUAUAUUUUGGUAAAGUCGUAGAAAUUUUGGUAAUUGUUAAGACUUUGUAUAAGGUUUAGAAAAUUUGGAAAUAUUUUUAAGUCUUAGAAAUUUUGAUAAAGUAACAUAAAUAUUGGUAAAUCCAUAAAAAUUUUGGUAAAUUGUUAGAUAUUUUGAUAAAACAUUACGAAUUUUGGUAAAUCAUUAGAUGUUUUGGUAAACCUUAUAAAUUUUGGUAAUUUGUUCGAUAUAUCAGUAAAUCAUUAGAAUUUUUAGUGAACCAUUAGAUAUAUAGGUAAAUUGUUAGAUAUUUUGGUAAAUCCUUGGAGAUAUUGGUAAUUAAAGUCUCAUAAAUAUUGGUAAAUUGAUGGAAAUAUUUAGAAAUAUUGUUAAAUUGUUAGAUAUUUUGAUAAAGUGAUAGAAAUUUUGGUAAUUGAUAAUACUUGGUAUGGUGUUUAGAAAAUUUUGAAAUAUUAGUAAAGUCACAUAAAUAUCGAUAAGUAGAAAAUUUGGUAAACCGUUAGAUAUAUUAGCAAGUUCUUAAAAAUAUUGGUAAAUGGUUAGAAAUAUUAGUAAAUGGUUAGAUAUUUUGUUAAAGUUAUAGAACUUUUGGUGAUUGUUAAAACUUGGUACAUGGUUUUGAAAUUUUGAAAAUAUUGGUGAAAUCUUAUAAAUUCUGGUAAAGUUUUAUAAAUAUUGGUAAAAUGAUAGAUGUUUUGGUAAACAUAUAGAUAUUUUGAUAAAUCCUUAGAAAUUAUAUUGGUGAAACGAUAUUUAAGUAAAUCUUUAGAAAUUUCGGUAAAUCGUUAAAUAUUUUAGGGAAUUCUUAGAAAUUUUGUUAAAGUCAUAUAAAUUUUAGUAAUUGUUAAAACUUGAUAUAUGGUUUAAAAAAUUUGGAAAUAUUGGUAAAAUGUUAAUAAAUUUGGUAAAGUCUCAUGAAUAUUGAAAAAAUGAUAAAAAAUUUAAUAAAUUGUUAGAUAUUUUGGUAAAUCCUUAGAAAUGUUGAUAAACUAUUAGAUAUAUUGGUAAAACGAUAGAAAUUUUGGUAAAUCGUUAGAUAUAUUGAUAAAUAAUUAGAUAUAUUGGUAAAUCCUUAAAUAUUUUGAUAAAACCACUGAACUUUUGAUAAUUGUUAAGAUUUUAUUUAGGGUUUAGAAACUUUUGAAAUAUUUGUAAAAUCAUAAAAAAAUUGGUAAACUCAUAAAUGUUGGUAAAAUAAUAGAAAUUUUAAUAGCUCGUUAAAUAAUUUGAAAGAUCCUUAGAAUUUUUAGUAAAUUGUUAAAUAUAUUGGCAAAACAAUGAAAAUAUUAGCAAUUGUUAAGACUUGAUAUGAGGUUUAGAAAACUUUGAUAUAUUGAUAAUAUCUUAUAAAAAUGGGUACAUUGAUAUUUUUGUUAAAUCAUUAUAUAAUUUAUUAAUUUAUAGUAUAAAAUUUCGAAAUGCAUUCAUUCAUCUUAACAGUUUCUUAGUUAUUUGGACCGCAUUAUGAAUGUUGUAUAAAGAAAAUACAAAUCCUCAUUUCUUUGAAUUUGACCACACUUUACUAACUUUACAUGAAAAAUAUUUAUUAAAUUAUAUCAUGUAAUCCAUAUAUAAAAAGAAAAAAAAUUGAAAUAAUUAAGAUAAAAAAUAGUAAUAGUUAACAUCCGUAAUUAGACAAUCGAUUUACUAACAAAAGUGCACCAUUCAUAUAUACCUAUCAUCAUCCCUUACAGUUGUAAACAACAAUUUAAAUGCUGCUAAACCCAAUAUUUUCAUUAUCGUCUUGUGCAUCAGGUGGUGAAUACUCUCUGUUUGGUCUAUCUUAAUAAAUUUUAAAAACCAAAAUCAAUGGUUUUUUGUCAUCAAGUCAUCAACAAUGCCCAUUCCCUUGUAAUAAAAUUAAUAUUAUAGAGAAAUAUUGAAAGGAAUUAAGAGAGUGUCAAACAAAUGACAUAAAUCAAACUUUCUAUAUGUUUAAAAACAUCAUAGCUGAAAGUUAAAUGAACAUGUUUAAAUUUAAGAAGCAAUUUACUUAUGUUCCGCACCUUUCAAUUUAUUUACUUGAAAUGAAAAGCUUUUUGUCAAUUAGCCGUCUACGUAUCAAUUCAAGAAAAAAAAAGUUGAUUAAUGUUAACUAAAAUGCAUAUUCUUAUACAAUUUAUUGUGUUUGUUAGCAUGAGAAUGUAAAACAAGCAGCUUAUACUCGAAGGGAUAAUGAAAAUUAGAACAAAAUAAAACAAAAUAAAAUAAAAUUAGAUGAUGAAACAAAUACUAAUCCCCCAAAUUGAUUAAAAAAAUACAUUCAUUUGAAACUAAUUUCUCAACAACCAAUUGGUAUAAAAGAAUGCGCCAAAUGAACAAAUAAAAAACAUUAAAACACCAAUAAAUAUAUAUGUAAAAAUAUUUAUUAAAAAACCAUAAAAAAAUAUGUGUAAAAAUCUUAGUAAUUCUAAUUACAAGAUUAAGAGGAAAAAACGGAUAGUUUUAAUAUUGUUGAAAAAUGGAGGUGGCGGUGGGGCUCCGUAAUGAUGAAUGGUGAGAUGAGAGUGGAUGGGUUGACAAUGAUGAACGUCGGGAUAGGAAGCGUCAGUGAUGAUAAAUGGCAAUUAGGGAGGGGAAAAAUUAUUAUUUUUCCGUGAUGGGAGUAGAUGGGUUAGAAAUGCUGAAUGGCGAGAUGGGAGUGGAUAGAUCAACGACGAUGAACGGCAAAAUCAGAGAGGUCAAUGAUGACGAAGGACGACAGGGGAGAGAGGAACGACACAGGAGAAGGGAGGGCUUUUUUAUUUAUUUCCACAACAUGACUUUUUCUUUUGUUGGUAACUGAUUUCCGGGUAAUACCGGUUUCUUCAUUUUCUCUUUUUUUAUUUAUUCACUUUCUGGAUUUCUUUUACAUAUAAUCUAACCGCUCUCACUUUUGGGAGCUUAGGCUAAGUUAAUAUUAAUUUUUCUUUUCGUAGCUUAUGCUAGAAUUUCUGCAAUACGUUUUUUUUUAUAUGAAUGUAUAAAUUGACUACAUAAAAUAAUAAUUACUAAUUAUUAUGAGCUUAUAACAAGAAAUAUUCAUGCAUUUGGUUUAUUAUGAUGCAGGUUUUGACUUUUGACAUUACAAUUAAAAAGGGUGAAAUUUAUUAAGUAAAUAGUAAGCUGUUAAUACCAGAAACAAAAAGUAUGUUUUAUCAAAGCCAGCCUGACGCAUACAAGUUUCGAAGUGUUCGUUGGCUAAAAUUAUACUAAAAUAUUCUUUUUAAUAGUAAUAACAAAUCAAAUUAUAAAUAUUUUACGAGUAACUUUGUCCUAUACAAAAAUCAAAGCAUGUCCAAUUCCAUCAUUUAACUCCCUCCAUUUUGUUAAUUAUUUUAUGUUAGAAGAUUUAUAGUAGGUUGAUAAAUUAUGAUUGAGAGAGUCGAGAAAUCUUAAAAUCUUCACUUUGAAUAUUUCUUUCUUAUGUUGAGAGUAAUUAUUGGAGUAUCUUUAUUGAUAAGUUAUGACAUAUUUUUAGAUAUUAUUUAGAGAGAUUUUUUAAUUACAAAAUAUUUAAAUGAAUGAUUUAUGAUAAAUAAAAUGGAUGUUAAAUUGCAUUUACAUUUUUGCGCUUCUUCUAAGAUAAAACAAAAAGAGAAGAAUAUUAUAAAUUUUGAUUGAUCAUGGGUAACAAAAUGGGGAACUGGACCAGAGGAAAGAAAGCAUAAAUUUUUUUUAUUCGGGUUCAAAUAAUUAGUAUAGGAAAGAAAAUGUUCUAAUGUUUAAAAAAUGGAAAGUUUUAAUUUAAUAUCGGCCUUAAUUUAUUUUUAUUUAAUGAUUUAAAAAAAUUAAUGAAUUUUACACUGGUGUAUAAAUAUAUGUAUAUAUAGCAUAAAGAUAGCGGUGAUCCGUGGGUUAGUUAAGCAAGGUGGUGGGAAAUGGCAUAUAAGACGUUAAGUUCAAAUAUUCAUUUUCCUCCAUUAUAUAAAUUUGACUAAAAAAGACGAACAGAAACCCUCCCUCGAAAAGCCAAACUCUGCCACUUUCUCUUCUUUCUCCUGCGACCGUCCAUUCCAUUCCAUUCUCCCUUCCUCUUCUCUUCUCUUUGGGAACAAAAUUCCAAUUCCGCUUCUCAAACCUUAGCAAAUAUAAUCUACUUCCCAUUCUAAAACCCUAAUAAUUUCCCCCCUCUUUUUUUAACAUAAAAAGAACUUUCACUUUUCAUUUAUCUUUUUUCCCAAUCAAAACAAAUACUCACCCUUAACCACCCUGUGAAAAGAGGUCUCUCUGAAUUUUUUUUUUGUAUAUACAUGUGUGUGCUUGUGUGUGAGUUUAUUUUUCUUCUUCUUAUGUCAGAACUACGAGUUUUAGUUGUUUGGCCUGUUUAAACUUCUGGAUUUUUUUAAAGGUUAUCUUCUUUGUUUAUUGAUUCAUAUUCCGAGUUGACAGAAAUUAAUAUUUUUGAAGUAAAAGUAAUUCGUUUCAGCUUGAAUCGUGAAAUUCUCUUCUGGAGUUGAUUUGUAUUCACGAAAGUUUAUCUGUGGACUUUACGUUAUUUAUAUAUGGUCGAUAAUUUAGAACUUUAAUUUCUAAGUAACUUUUAUCGUGUUUGAUUUGUACAAAGCCUCGGCGGCUUUUUUUAUGUGCUUUGUUUUUGCUCCUAUUUUUUUACUUCCCCUCGAUUGCGUAAUUAUCUAAUAAUACCAUUCAAUUGUUUAUUUUUAUUGCUAUCUGAUAUUUACAGUUGUUUUAAAGUAAUGAUUGAACCCUGAUUUUGUUGUCUCUUUUUUAGUUCAAUUUUAUGCAACAUCGAGCAGAAAAGUUUUUGCUCCUCUCUUUCACUAAAAUUUGUUUUAAGCUUCACAAAUUGACCGUGAAAUUAUGCAUUGGAAACCGUUUUAUUACUGAAGAAGUCUAAACUGCGAUGUAUACACAUAUUUAUAUUUAUGUUUUGCUUACCAUGUUUUCACAGGAGCCAUGAAUAUUAAUGUUGGAGACAAUAAAAUGGAACUGAAUGGGAGGGAUGAUCUUAAGAGGCCUUUGCUGGAGCCCUCAGAUAGUGUUUGCGUAACUAUACCUGAACCUGUUGAUAAGUUGGAAAAGAAGAGAACAGUGAUGUUCAAAAUAGGGAAUAUCAAGUGUGCAUCUUGUGUGACUUCCAUAGAAUCUGUGCUUGGAGAGAUCAACGGUGUUGAGAGUGUAUCAGUGUCACCGAUUCAUGGCCACGCGGCAAUUGAGUAUGUUCCAAAGCUCGUCAAUGUAAGUUUUAAGAAAUUGAUUGAAUCUUUAUACUUAUAAUGUGGAGAAUGAUUUAUGGUCACUACUCACAAUAGACUACUUUGGCAACUUGGUUAUUCUAACUACCCAUACUGCCACCAUGAUGGCACCAUGGUCAAGCGUAUAAAAUUUAUUCAGUGCAAGUGUAGUGCUAAAUCUUUGGUUCUUAAACCAUGUUUCUCUUAUAGGCUUCAACACUUUGUGGAGAUCUUAAUCUGUGGGUUUAUCUUCAUGAAUUUAAUUUGUCUUUUGGUAUUUCUUUGUGGUUUUCCUCAUAAUUAGUUUAUAUCUUUCUAUUGUUGGUAACUCAAAAGAACUUGUUUGUAUUUUAUUUUAGCCAAAAUUAAUUAAAGAGACAAUAGAGGAUGCUGGUUUCCCUGUUAAGGAGUUUUCAGAGCAACAGAUAGCAGUCUGCCGGCUCAGGAUUAAGGGAAUGGCAUGUACAAGUUGUUCCGAAUCCCUUGAACGUGCUCUAAAGUUCCUUGAUGGAGUUAAAAAGGCAGUUGUUGGUCUAGCUCUUGAAGAAGCUAAGGUUCACUUUGAUCCCAAUAUUACUGAUUCUGAUCGCAUCAUUGAAGCAAUAGAAGAUGCUGGCUUUGGCGCUGAUCUCAUUAGUUCUGGAAAUGAAGCAAACAAAGUACAUUUGAAACUUGAAGGAGUGUCAUCAGUGGAGGAUAUGAAUACUAUUAAGUCCUACCUUGAGUCAGCCAUAGGUGUAAAUCAUGUCGAGAUGGACUUGGAGGAAAAAAGGGCCACUGUCAACUAUGACCCAGACUUUACUGGUCCAAGAUCCAUUAUUGAAGCUGUACAAGAAGUUGCUCAUGGAUCAUACAAGGCAAGCUUGUAUAUACCUCCUAGACAAAGAGAAACUGAGCAGCACCAUGAAAUUAAUAACUAUAGGAAUCAGUUCCUUUUAAGCUGCCUGUUCUCAGUUCCUCUGUUCAUAUUCUCCAUGGUGCUUCCAAUGCUUCCUCCUUUUGGUGAUUGGUUAGAGUACAAGAUCUACAACAUGUUUACUGUCGGAUUGCUUCUGCGAUGGGUUCUUUGCACACCAGUACAGUUCAUUGUUGGCCGAAGGUAAUGAGUUGGUAGUUAUUUUCCAUGUAGAAUAUUAGCUACUUUUAUUUUUUUGGGGUCAAAGAUUCAGCAUUUCCAUUCCUCAGGAGAGGCAUAUACUAAUUGUGACCAGUUCUUGCAGCGUAACCAUUCUGUCUUUUGAUGUCUCUAUCAGGUUUUAUAAAGGAUCAUACCACGCAUUGAGACUGAAAUCUGCUAAUAUGGAUGUUUUAGUAGCCAUGGGCACCAAUGCUGCAUACUUUUACUCUGUUUAUGUAGCAAUUAAGUCUCUGAGCUCUGACACAUUUAAAGGACAAGAUUUUUUUGAGACAAGUGCAAUGCUGAUAUCCUUUAUUCUCUUAGGAAAAUAUUUAGAGGUGUUGGCUAAAGGGAAAACAUCAGAUGCUUUAGCCAAGCUGACAGACCUUGCUCCUGAUAGUGCAUGUUUGCUGAUAUUAGAUGAUGAUGGAAAUGUUGUCUCAGAGGUGGCAAUCAGCACCCAACUAAUACAAAGGAACGACAUAAUCAAGAUCAUUCCUGGCGAGAAAGUUCCUGUUGAUGGCAUUGUCAUUGAUGGUCAAAGCUAUGUGAAUGAGAGUAUGAUCACAGGGGAGGCACAACCUAUUGCUAAAAAGCCUGGUGACAAGGUACUCUUUUCCUGCCUUUUUUAUUUUGUUUGUUAAGGUAUGCCUGACUUUAUUAAAUGUUGAAUUCUUUUAAUUCAAUUGCUAUGAGCAGGUUAUUGGUGGAACUAUGAAUGAGAAUGGAUGUUUACUGGUCAAGGCUACUCAUGUUGGGUCAGAGACUGCGCUUUCCCAAAUUGUUCAGCUUGUUGAAGCUGCUCAGCUCGCCAGAGCACCUAUUCAGAAAAUUGCUGACCGGAUUUCUCGGUUUUUUGUUCCUGCAGUAACUUCCUUUUUCCUUGCCCAAAAUUUUGUUUAUACCAUUUUUAUUGCUUUUUCUUAAAACUCAUGGGUAUAAUUUCUUUUUCUUGAUUUUUCUUUAGUUGAAAGGCUUCUUUGCUUCUUGUUAACUUUUUGAAAUAUUUAAAAACUUUCAAACUAUUAUCAUUAAUUUGGAAUGUAUCAAAUAGCUCUAAUCAUCCAUACCUCAGGUUGUCAGCUGGAGGUUGGAUUCCCUGAACUCUAUAACAUGAUUCUUUCUGUUUUUGGUUUAGAUCUUUUUCACUAUAAUUGUAGACAAUGGACUUGUUUGUUGGCUGGUUUAUUCAUUUGAACCUUUAAUUGAUCUUCUAGGUUAAGCCAAAGUUCUAAACCAUAUAUUGUGCAGAAGUAAAAAAACAAAAUCAAAGAGAGAGAGACUGAUUUAUGGAUGAUCUUAUUUAUGAUAACUUAUUUUGUGUAUGACGCACAGCUGCACUCAUACUGCUUGCAAAGAGGCCAACAUGGCAAAAUGAAUAUGGCUGGAAACAUCACUGAUAAACAAAGAACAUCUUUUUCUUACUUUCAACACAUUUUUGCUUUUUCCGUGGAAAACAGAUUAUUUUUUAUUGAAUGACUAUUGAUAACUAAUAUUUCCUACUGUUUUUAAUAGUUUAGGCUUACAAGUUGUGCUGUGUAUGUGGUUUUUGUUUUACUUUGCACUUUCUCUUAAUCUAUUUGCAUUAAUGAAGAGUGUAGAACUUGAGCAUCAUGCUGGGCUUUAUGUAACUAAUUAUUCCUUUUGUUACAUAAUGCAUCUCUAUGCAAAUUUCUAACAGAAUGUAUAAAUUUUUUUGGUCCAAUAUCAGAUUGUUCUCACUGCAUUUAUCACUUGGUUGGGAUGGCUGAUCCCUGGGGUUAUUGGUAUUUACCCUAAACAUUGGAUCCCGAAAGGCAUGGAUAAAUUUGAACUUGCACUCCAGUUUGGUAUUUCAGUGUUGGUGGUUGCUUGCCCAUGUGCUCUAGGACUAGCAACCCCUACAGCUGUCAUGGUUGCCACAGGGAAGGGUGCUUCACUUGGUGUGCUGAUUAAGGGUGGAAAUGCCCUUGAGAAGGCACAUAAGGUAUAACCAUUUUGUGUUUAGAAAAACCUAGAACAGGUUAAGGUUGAAUUUGGGUUGAUAACUUAGUAUGUAUGAGUUUACAAUCAUAAUUGAGCAUUAUUAGCAACUUUCUCUGUCCUGAAAAAUUUGUCGAUUGAUAAUUAUACUCGGUUCUCGGUUCGGAAUUGUGUGAACAAAAAACACAACUCAUUGCCAUUAUCAGAUUUGCCGACCUUUUAGUUAUAGUUUUAAGUAGUAGUCAUUUUUGGAAGUUAUCUACUAUGGGUUCAUUCUAAAAUAAUUGUUUUUGCCUAGGAAAAUAUUAACUUUUAUCUAUCAAACUGCAUAUCAACUAACAUUUUAUAAAAAUGUGGAUUUCUUUAAAAAGGGCAUCACCCUUUGAUUUUAUAUUUCAUGGUUGUUGCUUGUAGUGGAAGGUCACUUCUUCAUUUCAGAUAACCAGAAUAUCAGCUUUGAUACACUUUUGUCAGUGUCAUUUAUAAUUUUAUAACAAUAUAACAGAUGUCUUGUUCAGAAGUGUUGUUUAUUGCCUUACCUUUAUGAGUCCUUUAACAACAAAACAAUGCAUUGGCCAAUAUAUACACACAGUAAUACAAGGUGAACCUAGGUCUCGGAAGUUGGAUAGAUUUAAUGUAACGAGUUCCCUUGCAGAUGACUGUUGCAACCUGAACUACCUGCUCUCUUUAUCCUGUAGGUGAAAGCAAUUGUGUUUGAUAAGACGGGGACAUUGACAGUUGGGAAACCUGAGGUUGUAAAUGUUAUGCUCUUUUCAAGCGUGUCAAUGGAAGACUUCUGCGAUGUUGCUAUUGCUGCUGAGGUACAUGCCUAGCUUUUUGUACUCUCCUGAUUCUAUUUAGUGAAGUUGCUAGGGAACAAAUAUAGAAAAGCUUCGUGAGAAAUUUGGAUAGCUCUAAUUUUACAACUAUAUCUGAAUUUUGUUACUUUUGGUUUUUGGGGAGUGGAAAUAUUAAACCAAAGCUUAUUUUGAAAGAAGAUGCAAUUCUAUAUAUUAGAUUUACCCAAAGUUGAUAUCCUUUUUUCCUUUUUAGAGCUAUGGCAUCUUGAAUGGUGCAAAAUGCCAUUGAAUGACUUAAGCUAGUUAACCCAAACUUUUAUCUGUUUAUUGCAAUCGAUUCAAACAUCUGUUUUCAUCUAAUUGAUUCCUCGAUGACCGUUAACCAUUUUCCAUCCAAUCAGAAAUGGCUUCAGUUUAUUGCAAUAAAAUAGUAGGGGUUUGGAUGGUUUUCUUAAUUUUAAUUUUAGGGGCUUUUUUUACAUUUAAGCCUUAAAAUUUCAGGCAAAUAGUCAACAUCCAAUAGCCAAAGCUUUCCUGGAGCAUGCUAGAAAAUUGCGUCAGAAGAUAGAAUCUAACAGGCAAUCCAAUAAUCAACAUGUCACAGAGGCAAAGGACUUUGAGGUGCACCCUGGCACUGGGGUGAGCGGAAAAGUUGGUGACAAAAUGGUCUUAGUUGGGAACAAGAGGCUUAUGCAGACUUAUAAUGUCACAGUUGGUCCUGAGAUUGAGGGCUACAUUUCAGAACAUGAGCAACAGGCUCGAACAUGUGUCUUAGUUUCCAUUGAUGGAAAAAUUGCUGGAGCUUUUGCAGUAACUGAUCCAGUGAAGCCGGAAGCUAAGAAUGUCAUAUUGUAUCUUCAUUCAAUGGGGAUCUCAAGCAUAAUGGUAACUGGUGAUAACUGGGCUACUGCAACUGCCAUAGCCAAAGAGGUUGGAAUAGAGAAGGUAAUUGCCGAGAUGGAUCCAAUAGGAAAAGCUGAUAGGAUCAAAGAUUUGCAGGUAAGCUUCUUUUCUUUUUCCUUUCACUUUCCUUGUCUUUCUUUAUUUUAUGGCUUUAUUCUCAAAAACGCAUUAUGAAAGGCUAUUCAUAGGGUGAAAAAGUUGUGAAAUUCUGGUCGUUAGAAAGUGACAAUUAGAUUUAUUAUAUGCCUAUGAAUAAUAAUUUGCUGAGGCAUGGUGGUAUUCUAGUAAAUUUUCAAUAAAUAAAUUGGAUGAACGGUAGGGGUGAGAACGAGAGCUUGAUAUUCAGUACAUAACAUCUGAUCAUUAUUUACCUUAAAUAUGGAACGCAGAUGAGAGGUUUGACGGUUGCUAUGGUGGGAGAUGGAAUAAAUGACUCACCUGCUUUGGUGGCAGCGGAUGUAGGCAUGGCAAUUGGUGCUGGUACUGAUGUAGCCAUAGAAGCAGCUGACAUAGUUCUUAUCAAAAGCAACUUGGAAGAUGUAGUUACUGCAAUAGAUCUGUCGAGAAAGACCAUUUCCCGCAUUUGGCUUAACUAUGUGUGGGCCCUUGGUUACAACAUUCUGGGCGUGCCAGUUGCUGCUGGAAUCUUAUAUCCCUUCACAGGAGUUAGGUUACCACCUUGGCUAGCUGGUGCAUGCAUGGCCGCCUCCUCUCUUAGUGUUGUUUGUUCUUCUCUGUUGUUGCAGUCUUAUAGGAAGUCUUGGGUGUUUCAAGAUACAAAAAGCGGACAUAGCCAUUGCUCCAAAUCCACAUGAUGGGACAUUCUCCGGUAUUUCCAUAUUCAACUGCAUAUUAUCAGUUAUUAACAUGGAAAUGUAGAAGGUCCUUCAAUUACAUUUCUUGUAUAACUAAAAUUGUCAAGUCUUGUCAGUUUGGGAUUAUUGGAUGGGUCAUUUCCAAUGAAGUGAUUGGCAUACAUACAUGAAAAAUUAUGGAAAUAUAAAGGUCUAUAUAUUGGAUGGGCACUGUAGCUUUCUAAUGUUUCAAUAGUCACAAAUGUAUGUGGCGUUUCAAGUUCUAAGCAUUUCAUCCAAUUUCGAGAACCAUUGUAGAUUUGUCUCUUCAUCGGUAUCACUUGAAAGUGUUUUAGCAAGUUAAGAAGAAUGAGCUAAGAAAAAGAAACACAAUUAAAUUUUUUAGUAGAUAUGAAAUUAAGUAGACAUGUCGAUGAUGGGUCCCAUUAUAAAGCCAUUCCCCCCCCCCCAAAUUCAUCUUCCAGUGCUUGUUAGUUUUUUCCAUUGAAGUUCAUAAUUAAAAUUAUAUAUAUUUUAACAAAAAAGAAAAAAAUGGUUAAAAUAUAUUGUUUUUUCUUGUAUAUUUACAAUUUGAGAUUUAGUUGUUAUACGUAAAAAGUUGAGAGUUAAGUCUUCCAACUUAUUUUUUUUUAUAAAUUCCAGUCAAAUUAUACCAAUUGUAGGUAUUUUUCAUCAAAAUUUAUCAAUUUAGCAUGUUAAUUAAGUUGUCCUCGUGAUAGGGCGUAUGAUUGAUGUAAAUUAAACAAGUAAACAAAUUUUAGCGGAAACUAUAAACGAAAUUGAUGAUUGAACUAGGGUUUUAAAAUUGGGAAAAUAAUAAGAGAAGAUGGACUAAAUCUUAAAUUCUGUAAAAGUAUAGGGACUGAUAUCAUAUUUUAACUAAAUAAAAUGCGCAUACAAUCUACCGUUAUUGAUAUUUCUUCCUCAAAUGGAAGACAACAGCUUUUGAUUCCUAGUAAAGAAGCAAACAAAACAGCAGCAUGUAAAAGUUAGGCUACUGGUAUUGCUUUACUGGGUUAGGGCGGGUUCAUUAUUUUUUGGCGUGGGGGUAUCUGCUAACAUUACCUAAUCUGUAAUCACCCAUAUUUCAAUCUAACAUACAGAAUAUCUUAUAAAAAUAACAUAAUGCAACAAUUAUCUACACACAUUACCUAUCCUAUAAAAAUAACUCAUGCAAUUCAUUUAUUUAUAAUAUAUUAGAUUUAUUAUUUAUAAAAGUAUAUAUUAUGAAAUAUAAACUUACUUAUUAUAUAAAUAAUCAAAAUUUGCUAUUUCAGUUCUAUAAAAAAUGGUUAUUUAAACUGAAGUAAUGUGGUUUUUCUUUUUCUUUUUUUCAAUAAUUUAAAUAUCUAAAAUUUAAUUUUAAUUUAUUACAUAAAUUCAUUUAAUAAAAAUAAUAAUAUAAUCAAGAUCAGAACUCAUCCUUUUAUUUUAUUUGAAAAAAGAAUACAUAUUUGAUGAUAAAUUAGAAGAUAAUUUUCAGGUGUAUGAGUAUGAAGUAUCAAUCAAAAUCGAGUAAUAAUUUCAUGUUCCUUCCCCAUGCAAUGGGAACUAUCCAUUCAUAAUAUAUACAAUAUAUUAUUCCGCAUUUGGAGGUUGGAUAAGUUUUUUAUUCCUUUUCAUUAUUUUCUAGGUUUUUUUUCCCUAGGGAAACUGCUAGGUUUUCUGUGCCAAUUACAUAAUUUAUAUGUGAGGUGUGAUUGCUUUGAGUGAUAACUGUUUUUCUGGUUUUAUGGGCAUGCUUUCAUUUCGGCUUACAUUCUGCUAUUGCUCUUGUAUUUUUAACUCCUCUUUCUUCUUCUUAUAAACCCCCAUUUCUGCCCUCUUUUACUUGUCUCCCUCUUUAAUUUCUUUUCUUUCUUUUGCCUUCUUUAUAUCUCUUUCAUUUUUUCUUUUGCUCGUUUCGUUGCAUAUUUUUUUUACAGGUCAGUCAGUACUAUUUAGUCUUAAAUACAUCUUUUUCUCUGCAUAAUGUAUUUGUUUUUAUUUUUAUUUUUUAUUUUUAUGAUUUCUAUUGUGUAUGUCUUUCAAAGAAAAUGCAAUUUUCAAUGAAAGCUGUAUAUGAUAAUAAUUCGUAUUAUUUAGAUUUAAUAUAUUUGUAUAUUCUUGUUUUUUUUUUCUUUUGUGUGUGUAAUGUAUGUUUUGAAUUACUUUUUAUACUAUGUUUAUAUUGUGUAAUCCUGAAUAAUAUUACUGGACGUGAUAUUUUGGCAAUUGGUUUGAUUUGAACUGAAUCAUUGCAGACCAUGUUCUUUUUGGCGCCUUUGGUUCACGGUAACAGCUGACCUUAAACCAGUCAUUAGAAAGAUCUUUUCUUUCUAUGUCCCAAUGAAUCAUUUUACUAUAUUACUAACAUGAAAUCUCACAGAUUAAACAUUGAUCUCAUCAAAAAGAUUAACUUGAUUUUCCUCCCCUCAAAUCAUUUCCUUACUAAAUGUUUCUUCUCAACAUAACCUACAUUGGCAUUGUGUAAAAUUAGUCUUUGAUACUAAGAGGGAUCUUUUUGGUUUUUAGAUAGUGCAACCAUGGAAAAUGAAGCUUAUUCACAAGAAAAGCCUCUACCUUGUGAUCUGGGGGACAAUUUUUCAUUUGUUUCAAUUUCAACUAGUUUUUAUUCUCUUUCACUCUGUCAACAUGGGUUCUUGUUUAUAAUCGUAUAGGGCCAUAUAUCGUUAACGUUGUCAUCUUUUCCAAGUUUUGUUCUUUACCAACUCAUUGUAUUCAUAAUAUUUGGGUUCCUGAUUAGGUUGUUUAUUGGAGAAAUGAUGGCUGAUAGGCACCAACAUCCUUCUGUCAUGCUAAAGAUUGCUGGACAACUCCAUCUUGGUUCCAGCCUUUCUCAAGAUGUUCGAUAUCGGUAUGGAGGAUUCCAAAGGCCUGCUGUACAUCAGAAGCGUUUUGCAUCUGCAAGUUGCAAUGCAACACUACAGCAUCCCAUGACUCAGCUGGCAUGCCACCCAGUAAGUUAUAAUCUCUCAUUGUUUGGAUCGAGUUCAUCACCUGUAUGUGCCCAGGCUCCAUCAGAGAAAGGUAUUUCCGGUUUCGUUAUCGAUUUCCUCAUGGGUGGAGUUUCUGCUGCUGUGUCCAAAACUGCUGCUGCUCCUAUUGAACGUGUCAAGCUCUUAAUCCAAAACCAGGAUGAGAUGAUUAGAGCCGGUCGCCUCUCCGAACCUUACACUGGUAUUGGUAAUUGCUUUAAAAGAACAAUAGCAGAUGAAGGCAUGAUGUCUUUGUGGAGAGGAAAUACAGCUAAUGUGAUCCGUUAUUUCCCGACUCAGGUUCUUAACGUCUUCACAGAAACCCCCUUAUCUUCAUUACAAUUUAGAAUUUAGAUCUGCCUGCUCACUUACAUUCUCUGAUUCUGCGUUUACAGGCCUUGAACUUUGCCUUCAAGGAUUACUUUAAAAAACUGUUCAACUUUAAGAAGGACCGUGAUGGCUACUGGAAGUGGUUUGCUGGGAACUUAGCAUCUGGUGGUGCAGCUGGUGCCUCUUCCCUUCUCUUUGUCUAUUCCCUGGAUUAUGCUCGGACUCGUCUGGCUAACGAUGCCAAAGCCGCAAAGACAGGAGGGGAGAGGCAAUUCAAUGGCUUGGUUGAUGUAUACACCAAGACUCUCAAAUCAGAUGGUAUUGCUGGCCUCUACAGAGGUUUCAACAUUUCAUGUGUUGGUAUCAUUGUGUACCGGGGCCUGUACUUCGGAAUGUAUGAUUCUCUAAAGCCGGUUAUCCUUGUUGGAAAGUUGCAGGUUAGUAGAAUUUUUUUGUCUUUCUUUUGCAUCAAGUAACAUUCGUACUAAAGGAUUACACUCACACCUGCAUUAUCUUAUAUUUUGGAUAAUAUCAGGAUAGCUUCUUUGCUAGCUUUGCUCUUGGUUGGGUUAUUACAAAUGGAGCAGGUCUUGCCUCCUAUCCCAUCGACACUGUCCGCAGAAGAAUGAUGAUGACAUCGGGUGAAGCCGUGAAGUACAAGAGCUCGAUGGAUGCGUUCUCGCAAAUUCUUAAGAAGGAGGGCUUUAAGUCACUGUUUAAGGGAGCUGGUGCCAACAUCCUGCGUGCGGUUGCUGGUGCGGGUGUGCUUGCAGGCUAUGAUAAGCUCCAAAUGAUUGUUUUCGGAAAGAAGUAUGGUUCUGGUGGGGCAUAAUCAUAUGGCAACUACAGAUGGGUCAUCAAAUUCAUUUGCAAUGUUAUUUAUUACAUUCCAGAUUUUGCCUUGCUUACCGCAAAUAUUAUUUUUAUUCUCAUUUUGAAUAACUUAGUUUAGAGAGGUUGUCUCGUCUCCUAGAAGAACAUUAGUCCUCUCAUGGGAGGAAUAUUUUUACCCUGAUUGCAACCGUACACUACACUACUUUUUGAAAUUAUGUAUUGUCCUUUAUAUCUUAGGAAAUUCCAAGGAUAUAUACUUAAUUAUUACUUUGUUUUUCAUCUUUUUCUUUUAAUCAUUACCGUAUAAAUAGUUAUAAUCACAAUCAAUCGUUACACAUACAUACAUACAUACAUACAUACAUACAUACAUACAUACAUACAUACAUACAUACAUGAUACUUAAUUUAAUAUGUAAACUAACAAUCUGUAUGCUCUCAAACUAUAGUUGUUUUAUACUUUCAAACUAAUAUUCAUUUCAAGCUGAAAGAUAAACUUAUUAUUGCAGUUUCUUUUUACAUUAUCUGUCUAAAUUUGAAGGGCUAGCAGACAGAUUCAAGUUACUACUCUCCUUAUAUAAUGUUCUUUAGUGUCUAAACUUUCCCAGGCUUGAAGUCUUACUAGGAAUUAUUUUAACGUUCAUUGUUUAAAAAGUGUGAUUAAAAUUAUUUGUUCCUUUGCAAAAUCUUAUAAGUUUUCAAAAUAUUUACUCUGGUAAACAGUAAAUAUUAAUUUUAUUGAAAUUUAGAUUUAUUUAAUUUUUUUUAAUAGUACAAAAACUAAAAUGAUAGAAAUUAAUUUUAUCCGGUCACCUGCGAGGUAUUUUCUCCAUUUUUAUACGGGUGCCACAAAUGUCUUGAACUGUGAUAAAAACAUCGACGGCUGCAUGCUGUUAGGGAAGAGGCAAUUGGUUGACUCCAUUACAAGUUGGGUCUAACUGGAUGCAGAGUUGUUGGAUUAUCUAUUCUUAACCAAUGAUCAUUCUAAUAAUAUGAUGGGAAAAAGUUAGACAAUUUUUCGAGGAUGAGCAAUGAGUCAUGAUAAUCAUUCUUUUCACCGUUGUGCUUAUUGGGUUCAUCACAGAGCAUGCAUGCAUUUGAAAUAAUUGGGGGGAAACAAUAACCAAAAACUAUAAUGUGGUUUUAUUUUUUCAAAAUUUCCAUCAUAACAGUUGGACAACAUGUUGGACUGGUGGCUAUAAACCAAGGUUGUUGAUGUUGUGUUCAAAGAAAGGGAGACAAAGCAUCCUAGAAGAAGCAUGGCUCAGAGUAGUAAUCAAGCUGUGCCUACAUGUUGUUAAACUGUAUCUAUAUACAGUGAAGGCAGGUGCAAUGUAUAUGUUCAUCAAUAUUUAUGUCUAAGUUGUUUUGCAUCUAAAUUUGUCUUUCCGCAGUUUCUACAAACCCUGCAAAAAUAAGCUCUUACUCUCUCAGUAGUCUUUAUUCUGGUGCAUGUUGGUGCAAUCUUGCUGUACAUAUUGUUAGGACUUAUCAAAAUUGCCUUGCUGUAUGCUUACAGUAGCUAAAUUGAGUAUAUAUCCGUCUACCAUCUUCUUUAUCUUGUUCGGAUACUGGACACAUUUUUGGACCCUAUAUAGGAAAUAAUGCACUGCAGUCCAUCAAUGGAAUAAAGUGAUGUUGGAAAUGAUUGAAAAGCCAAAUUUCAUUCCCCUGCUGACGCAUAAAGCUGUUUAACAUGACUAGGCCACUGGAAAUAACUCAGAGUUGAGGGAUGCUUACUUUUUUUGCUGCAAGAAAAAUGAUAGAAUUGACACUAAUUUCCAUCUUCCUGUUUAUGGUCCCUUAAGAAAACUUCAAGCCUAGGCUACUAGGACUCUUCAUUUCUUUCUAAAAGUAUCCUUAUUUGACAAUGUAGAUAAUGUAAAUGGAAGGAGAUAAAAGAAAUUCUAGAUAAAGUUAACAUGUGAUUGAUGGGUUUGGUGUUAAGACUUUAGAGAUUCGGUUUACACAAAGUGUAGAGACAAAAGGAAUGUAGGAAUAUAAUGAUUCGCAGUCCUUGCUUGCAAGCUAGGUUUGGUUUUGUUUUGUUUUGUUUUGUUUUGUUUUGUUCUGUUGGGUUUUUCCAUUCACACAUACACUCCACUCUCUGUCUGACUCAUAAUUCAUUGUUUGCUUUCUCUGCCAUCUCUCUCUCCCACAUGCCUUACAGCUUUUGCUUUGUGUAUCAUGGAAUGACAGUGAUUAACAUCACCCUAUUGGUUUUAGUAGAUUGUAUAUAGUCCAACCUGCGAAAAAAGUUAUUAUUAGCAUUAUUGGACCAACAAAAUUAUUGGGAUGCAGGCAGCCUGCACCGCACAACUUUUUUUCUCCCUUCUCUGGGUCUGCCUGCUUUAUCAUAUGAAUGAAGAACCUAUGUUCCAUUUGUUUCAACAGAAUGGGGAAAGCUAACCACUUGUGUACAUAUAUUUCUGAAGAGGAGUAAUAAAUUUCUUUUCAUGGAAUGAACCAGGUUAAAAGGUCACGUUAGUUCAUCUAACACCAUUUAGCACGAUUUCUUAGUUAGGUAAUCAAACUCAACUUCUCCUUUUGUUUCAUGUUUAUUCCAAACUACCCAAGUCAAAUAUUUUAUGUCGAGUAAAAGAAAUUUUAAGAACAAAGGAGGCAAGCCCCCCUGUUUGUCUCCAAAGAUAAAGGAUGAAAAACUUGUUAAUUAUAAUUAAUUUAGAAUUCACAAGUUUUCUACCUUUCUCCAUUGGGAUACCAAAUAAAGUCUUAAAAAGUAUGAAACCAGUCAUUUAUGAGCCAAGUAUUUAACGUUUAACCACGUUACUUUCCCUAGUGCAGAAAACAAAACACCCAUAUGUUUCAAACUGGAUUUUAGGGUAUACCUUAAGCUACCCAAACUAGCUCAAUUUCAUAUUUUUACUCUUUCUUUAUUAGUACAUUACUUUCAUUAAAAAGUCUUUUUUUUUCUCUCUCUCUCACAACUUUUUAGUAAGAAAUGUCUAUAAAUUAAUUAAAGGACAUAAAGAUGGAAAAAGAAGAUAGAACUAUAUAUGGUGAAGUGUUGAGUAAAUGAUAAAAAUCAUCUGUAAAAAAGAAAAAGAGAACCCUUAUCUUUUGCAGCACAUGGUAGGGAAGCUGAUAAUAAUAAUAAUUAAGUAAUUAAUUAAUUAAUCUCCACUCCCUGCAUUGCAUGUCCUAGGAAUGAUUUUGAUUGCUGAAAUCUUGAUUCACAAGUUUGGUUUGAAUUCUUUUGUUUUGCUUGCAAUUGCCGGCCAACAACAAUGUAGGUCCCUGCCAUUGAAGUAAAUUCCAAAAAGUCCUCAUUCAUUUUAUUCCUUUUAUGUUGUGUUUUUAAAUAAUUAAAAAACUGUCUUUGGCUCUAUUAUUUGGUUAUAUUUAUGAAAACAUAUUAUAUCCUAACUCACUUCUUCUUAUAUGGGUAACACUGUCAAUGCCAACCAAGUUUAGUCUUAGUUAACAUCGAUUUUUAAUGUUUCAUUUUUAUUUUCUAUAACAAUUUUCAUUUAUAAUAUUAAUAACCAUAAAAUAUAAAAUAUACUAUUUACUCAAUUAGCUUUCUACAAGUAAAAUUAAUUCUGUUGCUAAUGGAAAUAAAAUAAAAAUAUCAAUUAAGAUGUUAUUUAAAUAAAAUGUUUAAAUUUUAUAUAUAAACAUACUAAUAAUAUUUUAUUAAAUAAAAUUAUAUAUGUUAAUUCUAUUAUCUAUAUAUCUGACUGUUUAAUAUUAUUGAUAUAUUAUAAUUUUUUAUUUUAAAAUUUAAAAAAAUUCAAAUAUUAUUGAAAUUCCGUGUUUCAAAUAUUGUUAUAGAUGUAUAACAAUCAUUUCUGUAUAAUAUUUAAAAUUUUGAGGGACAAAUGAUAUUAUUAUAAAAGAAAAAGUUGAUUGUAUCACCAUUGACGUGGAAUUUUACUGCAACUCAUCUAUUCUGGGGUACAAUUACUUUUUUUUUCUUGAAUUAACUAGGAUUAUCAUCAAAAGCAAGCUGUUUAAAGAAAAGGAUUAAAAGGCAAAACAUGUGUUAUGAAAUCCGUGAAUACAAAAAAGUUUUCGUGGGGUCUAUUUUGUAAAUUGCACUGUAAUAAAUAUUGGGAUUUGCUUCCACGUAUUUAUAACAUUAGGUUUCGGUGUUAAUAACAGCAUUUUUGGUUUUGUUUCAACAUGACGGAAUUUUUUUAAUUAUCAAUAUAAUUAUGACUUAAAAAACAUGUUAACUGCGAUCGUGUAUGCACGUUAGACUUUGGUUAUUCCUUCAAUUUGAUUCCUUAAUUAUUUUUUAUUCCAUUAGUAUAAACUUUGAUAAAGGGUUUGAAAAAAUUCAAAGGUUGAUGGGAGAGCUGACUGGUGAACAAAUCUGUUGCCAGUUGUGCCUACUCACCAUCCCUAACGAUAAUUUUUGUUUAGGAAAAUGUUAACCAGUGAUUAGAGAGUUGUUAAGAUGAUAUUUAAAGGAUUAUAAAUGCCCGUAACUCAAAUGUUUAAUUUUUUGUAUAAAAGGUGUUUAAAGUAAAAAUGGAAGAUGUCUGCUCCAUAUAAUCUACAAAAGCGAAUUAUUUAUUUUUGAAACUUUUUAAACCAGCUUCAACUAUAUUUUCGUUUGGUUGACCUUCUCACCUUUUCCCAAUUGAUCAGCUGCCGCUGCGGUUGGUUUCUUAGCAUUUUCAAGAGGUUUCCCUUCUGUUAGAGAGUGCCCAUUCUCCUCUAGUUGACCAACUUUAUCAAACAUAUUACACUAAAAUAAAAUUAUUAUGCUCGUAUUCUCGGAUCGCAUACUAUAUUCGUGUUUUUAUUUGGUGAACCUCAUAUCAAGUGAAAUAGUGAACUUUAUGUAUCAAGCAACACCAUGACAAACUCUUGGCAAGUUAUUUCCGUCAAGUGUCCUAAAAUAUCAUAUAAUCGAUUUAGAAAGUCACAUUCCCAACACUGCAAGGAGAUAAAUUAUGACUCUAUCGUCAAUAAACUCAUGACGUGAGGCCUCUAUUAUCUCCAUAUAUAAGCCCAAACGCAACAAUUGAAAGAUCAUAGAACAUACGUUAAGAGCACUUAGUGCCUUCUUCCCCAAUCAAUAUUACUCUAACCUUUUAACUCUCUUCAUCCUCGUUGAGAACAGUGACUCUUUACCUUAAUUUAGGGUAAAUCAUCCUAUAUUCUUACUUGUUGAUUCUACUGUUAACAAAAAGAAAAAAAAUUUGAAAUUUCAUAUUUUUAAAUUAACAAAUAAAUAUUAUUUUUUUAAAAAUCAACCACCUUAAAAUAAUCUCUAAUUUUUAAGUAUUUGGAACAUUUGGUUUUAUAUCUCAAUUAGAGUGUUGAUGAUUUCGAAUAGUGUAACUCUGGAUAUUUGAUAAAGAAAAACUUUGGACAUUUUUAGAUAUUUGAUCCGCAUUUUUCGAUUAAAAUAUUGCAUACUUAUUAAUUGUAGAAAUUUAGAACACAUGGUCCUAUAUUUAUUAUCAAAAUUCGUUUUAAUUUUUUAGUGGAUGCAAAUAUUAGAAUCCAUAAUUCAAAACUGAUUUAUUUUUGGAGAUAAAAUCAAUAAUCUAAAUCUAAAUUCAUUUUCUGUUUUACUCAUUAAAUUCGAAUUAUUGAAUAUUUGUUGGUUAAUAUUAUUUAAUUUAAAUUUGAAGUCAAAUAAAAAUUCUCAAAAUUUAAAAUGACAAUAUGAAUUUAUUUAUUUUUUAUAUUUAUGUGAAUUUAAAUUUCUUUAUAGUAAAUGUGGGUAAUGUGAAUUUAAAUUUAAAGUUUAGAAAAAGGGUAGAGGCGAUAUUAAAAUAGUAUAGUCUCAUCCGAUACCGCCAGACAUGUUAUCAUUUCCCAUCUAAGUUUAACGGAGUUUGCGUGUUGUUGAAACUACUGCAGAAAGGCGCCCUCCCUUAGAAUUAUAAAUGAAGCCACAUACUACUGUUAUUAAUGAAAAAAGAACAAAAAAAAAAAAAGAGACAUAAGACACAAAGAGAGGGAAGGGGAGAGAGAGAGAGUGUGUGUGUGUUGUUUGCUAAGCGGAGCUUAAAUAAAAGCAAUGAAUGUCGGCUGCCUAGUUCUUUAAUCUCUCCUCCUUAUUUCUCGAAGGAUCUCUUCUUUUAAAGAUUUAUUUAUUCCAUUUCUAUAUAUAUCAGUCUAUCUAAUUCUAUCCUUAUCCCUCUCUGGAUCCAUUCAGUCCAUUUCUAUCUCUAUCGCGAGGAGAUCUCGCAUUUCCUUAGCUGGAGAUCCGAUAAUCAUAGAAUGAGAUAGUUCGCUUUAAGUUUAGCUCUCAUUUUCUUGUUUGGUUGCCCAGAAAGUUCAGUUCAGCAUCAAAGCAACCGGAAAAGUAAGCUUUCUCAGUAGAAGAUUUAAUCAUUUAUCAGCUCUGGCUAAGCUUAAACUGUAAUUUCAUUCCCUUUCUUCCUCAUUUUCUUGCUUUUUUCUCGGUUACCAAACGGAAACUUGAUCAUUUUGUUUUAAACAUUUGUCAUGUACUUGAACAUUUGCUAAUACGUUCCACGUUUUCUUGCAGUAACUGAAUCUCAUUGUUUCAGUUAACUUGUUUUUCUAGACUCUUUAUUUAUUUUGAUAAUUCCUUCUGGAGAUUCUUAAAUUUUCUAUGUAAUUUACUCUUUACUCUUGUUUAUGAUUAUAUUCUUAUGUGAUUCUUAACACUAAAAUACCGAAAUGCACUAGCAAUUUGGUGAAAAUUUUAGGAGAUCAGGUUUUUCUAUUUAGAUUACUUUAUUAUCAUUGUCUGUUUCUAUUACUAAUUACAAAUUUUAAUUGUCUAAAUUUAUGUACGUAGAUUUAUUGGAUUUUGGAGGAUGAGUUGGGAUCCACAUAUGGAGGUUCAAUACAUCAACAGUAACUACCCUUAUAAUAGUGCUGGCAGCUUUAUCGAAUAUUUUGAAGGUCUUACUUAUCAACAUGUCAAUUUUAUUUUCGACGGUGCUUCUCAUGUCCAGGUACCGUUCAUUAUCAAUAAUUUUGUGUUUGUUUUUCAAAACAUAACAAUUUUGUUUUUGGAUGUACUCAAGUGAUUCCUUUAAUGCCUUUGUGUUUUCAAGAAUAAUCAGAUGAAAAAUAGGCCGACUUUUUGGAUGAGUUGAUUGUAAUUGAUCCAUUGAUUAGAUUAUUGCAAAUGAAUUGUUGCUAUUGGUCACAGCCAAAAAUUGAACUUCUGUCUGCAGGAGAGUGUGUACCCAUCCAUGACUUCAAGCUUUUACAAGUUUGGCCCAUCUGAUUCUGGCAGUAUUUCAUAUUAUGAUCAUCGUAAUGAUCAUAGUUACGAGGUGAAUAACCAUGAACUGUGCAUUGAUGAAUAUAGAAGGGCAUCAGAGAAUUCCUUGUCAGGGAGUAAUGAACAGACUGCAGCAAUGAAUGUGGAAUGGGAAAGAAACGCACAUGCAACUUCGCUUGAAAACUCGGUAGAUUGUAAGUUUCUCAAUUCUGUGAUUAAGGGAAUGUUUUUUUUGGGUACAAGUUUAAGGGUAUGUAACAUAAUGCUAAAAUGGUUUAUAAUGAUGCCUAUAAGGUAACAUUUAUGUUUUUGAAUUAUGCUGAGAAUUUAUGUGCAUGGCAAGAUUUAACUUGCUUUCCUUCUCAAGAUUGCUUGUUUCUAAUCAGUGUUGUGUAAUGUGGUGAAAUAUUUUUUUCCCCAGGUUUUUGAGCUUCUAUGGUGGAUUGGUCAUUAAUUAAUUAUCAAAUUGUUUGCAACUUCGUGCUUUUUCUAAAUUUUAUGAAUGGAUUAGAUGCUAUGUUUUCUAUCAAUCUAGUCUUGGCUCCCAGAAUAUUACCCAGCAUCUCUGUUUUGAUGGAUUUUAAACUUUAGAUCUUACUUGAUUGAAGAGAAAUUAAGGAUUCAGCGAGCUUCAUGAUGAAGUUGUGUUUAUACCCCGUUUGGUCCCCAGAUAAAAGGCCCAGUUUAGCAGCUACAAAAUUUUCAAAGCUAUCCUAAGAAUCUUUUGUCUUGAUGAUAGUUUUUUGGCUUUUUUCCAAGAUCGACUUACUAGACUUGUUUGUCUUUCUUCCUUUCUUUUUUAUCAUGAAGUAAAAUGCAAUCUCUUUAUCUGUAUAACUGUUUCUGGUCAUAAAGUUACCACCAAAACUGGUAAUACAAUGAUAACUGAGACUUUUUAAUUGCAGUACGAGUAGACUGGUUUUCUGGUUUCUCCACCUCCUGCAAAAUGAUUCUUCGGGAUCCUUUUUUCUUAUUUUUUUCCUACCUGGAGGAUUUUUUCAGUUCAGCUUCUACGUUUGAUUGUGCUUAUUCCUUCUAGCUCUUCUUGGUGUGAACCACUUAAAUGCCAAUACCACCACUAGAACACCAUCACUGUUGAGAUCAAAUCACCUGCAGCACUGAGAAACCACCACUAAGAGUAGACCUAGCCCUCUGUGUAUCAUUGUCGUGUCAGUGUAUUGUCAAAUGUCAUAGUUGUGAUUCUAAAGCAAUGUAUAUUCUGAUAUGUUAAUAAUUUGUAUUCUAUAGAUUUUGACAUGCUUACGAGUUUGUGUUAUUUUUUUCAUAUUGAGUUCUAUGUUGUGUUUUAGUUUGUUUUUCUCUGUCAUGCAAUCAUAUUGUGUCCAUGGUUGCCAUGUCUAACUAAGAACUAGGUCCACUGCCAGUCAAGUGGUUAAGGUUUCAUGUAUUCUCAAGCAAAUUCCUUGCCUUCAUUCCCAACCAAGAGAUAAUUACUUUGCCCCAUAUAGCAGCACUGAUCUUGACUGGGGUCUGAUGUAGAAAAAUUGAGUUGAUUGGCUUGAAUUUCUCAAGCUUCAUCCAUUUUUAGCUCGUUUGCUAAAUAUUGCACCUUUAAUUUUGAGCUUUUGUUGCAAACCGUGUGCAAAUACCUCUAACUCUAAGUUUGGAAUGGCAUGGCCCUUUUGCUAGCCUAGCUAACUUGUCACAUCAGUAGAAACUACUACUUAUGAGUAUGCUUUCCCGCUGAUAUGUGCAGAGUUGUUUAAGAAAAUUGAUUGACUAGUAUAAAAGUUGUGUGGCUUACCUGAACUAUGAGAAGCCUUGUUAACUUACACUUUCUAAUUACGUAAAUGAAUCACUAAUUCUCACUAUCAUUUGGUAGGUGGCACCUUAGUCUUAUAACGAUAGCUAUCUAUAUUUUUUUGAAAAAGUUUCCUGAUUCCAAUGCUUUCUUUCACUUUUAGGUCCACGGAGACAACAUAAUGCUCAUGAUUACCAGGUCUCUCUCUCUCGCUGUUAUUUUCUUUGUUGAAUAGAUGCGUGCAACUCAUUUCCCGUAGUAUGAAUUUUCAUACCUAUAUAUCUUAGUAGAUUAUUUGCAUUAGCAUUUAAUAUUAGUGACUUCAAUCAUCUCAGUUAUGAAGCUGUAUGUAUGUCUAAGUGUGUCUCUAAGCUUUUCCAAGAAUUAAUACCGAGUUCUAGAGACUUAAAUCCUACUAUUUUUUCAGUUUCGUGAUUCACAAAAGUUAAAUGUUGCAAAAUGUUGUUAAAAUAUGCAGGUUAUUUGGCAAGAUUGUGUUGAUCCUGACAACAUGACAUAUGAGGUUAGAAGAAAUUCUCUAUUUUUUUAUCUUUUUCUAGCUUAAUUAGGUGCAUUAUUUCUUUACUUUUCUCAGUAGGCUUUCAAUUAACUCUUAAUUUGUUGCACUUUUGAGUUUGAGUAAAAGAGAAAAACACAAUGCAGUGCAUUUGUAGAUUAAACCUUGUUUUCAGGACCUAUGUAAAAGUAGGAGGUUAGGUCUGAAAGAAUUACGUCUUCAGGUUGGGAAAUGAAAUGUUGUAUUUGGCUGCUAUGUCAUUGAGACAGCUGUAAAACAAAAUGGAUUCAGAGGUCAUUCUCCUGUUUUAGUUGUUUGGGUUGGUGGUCUCAAGAAAGGUGACAAAUGUUUUGGGGUUGAGAACAUUGAGGCCUUAGGGAGAGGGGGAGGUUGCUAGCAUAUUUACAAAAAUGUUUUUAAAAAUAAGAGGAAAUAGAGAAUGAAGUUUGUGAGUGGCUGCCACCAGCUCCACAUAAAAGGGAAGAAAAAAAAAAGAGGAGAGAAAACAGGAAGGGCUGUUGUUGGCUCUUCCCUGCCAAGAAUGAAUAAGUGAGGUGCAGAAGCUUUUAGAGAGAGACAGAGAUGGAGCAUUUAUUUAGAAAGUACCGGUGCUCUGCUCUUAGUAGAGUACUGGUAACCUACAUUAGUGAAGGAAAAACUUAGCUAGUAUAUGUUUAUUGUUAUAGGUGAAAAUUAGCCCCCAAAAAAGUACUAGAAUCACUUAGCAUACUUUUAGUUCAAUGAAUUCUGUGUGAAGUUGGAAUACGGUUUGCUUACUCAAUUUUAAAAAAAAUUAUUUCACGGACAAUAUUUUCCCUAGUUAUCCCACUGUGCUUCUGAGUAAAGAGUUUUAUUCUCCUGAAAGGGCAUAAUUCUGAUAUUUAGAAUUCCAAUAUUCUGGCAUUAUUUCAAAGUGCAGUUAGAGUUACUGCAGUAAUCAUGCAAGUUAUUUAUCUUUUAGGAAGAGAGUAAUGGUCCGGUGACAAAUUUUUAUAGCCAAACCUUUCCUUCCUAGUUUCAUGUUUAGCACCCCAACGGGUGGGUAGGCAGAGUGGACCAACCGUCCCGUGACUCAUGUUGCUUGUUUAUAGAAAACUAAGGAAGCUGUCUGGAUGAUGGAACUGGCUUAUGAUUCAGUGGUCUUGCUAGGGCCCAAGCAUUAUUUGGUCAAAACCUAAUAUGGAACAACUAAUUUGGUUUAGAUUGGUUUGGUUUAGUUUGAAAAGUUCAAAACCAAACCACAAUUUUGGUUUGAGACCAAACCAAACCACAAUUUUGGUUUCACUGUUUUUUCCUAUUAUUUAAAACCAAUCCAAACCAAAAUCUCUAUUUGAAAUAAUAAAUAUAAUGAUAUUAUAUAGUUUUUUAUGUUCUAUUUAUAUAUCUUUUUUUGUUAUUAAUAAUUUUAUCUUAUAACAUAUAAGCUCUCUUUAAUUUAAGGUUUUCCUAUAUGCUGACACUCAAAACUCUUUUGACAUUUUUUAAACCAGUACCCUCCAAGCUUCACCAUUGAUUCAUGCUUGUUCAUGAGUAAUUGAGUAUAUAAACUUUCUUUAAUUUACGACUUUUUGGUUCAAGUCUAAUUUUCGUUGUAUAUAAACAUUAUUUAUAUCUGCUUUAUUUUAUAUACUGGUCCUGUUCCAUGGUCAUCCUCUUUAUUCAUUAUUGGUUCCUUACAAUCUCAUUUAAGUAUUUUGAUUUGCUUGUUUGAUUUUUGUUAUAAUUUAGAUUGAUUUGAAAUCAAAAUUUCGGAAACCAAAAUAUUUUGGUUUGAUGUGAUUAUUCCUUAAAACCAAUCCAAACCAGUCCAUACUCAUCCUUAGACUUAGCUGAAAUCGUUGCUUAAUUUUAAUAGGUUAAAACACAAUAAUUUAGCAUUUUUUGAAUUGUUUCUUUAAUUUUUUUUUAUUAAUCAUUCAUGAUUACAUUUAUCUCUUUAGGAAUUACUUGAGUUAGGGGAGAGUGUUGGAACACAAAGUCGGGGUCUCACCCAAGAACUUAUUUCAUUGCUACCUGUUUCAAAAUACAAGUGCAGCUUAUUCUCAAGGAAGAAAUCAAGGAAAGAGAGGUACUGCUUAUGUUUCAUCUUUGCCUCGUUAAAAUGUGAUUUGCUUUUAUCAGCUGCUGCUUUUGGUCUUCCACAGAUUUUAAAUUGAAAUACUCAACAACCCUAGUUCAUCUUGGCAUAAGUUCUACUGGUUUGCAAGGUUAUGUUUGUAUUUAUCAUAAAUAUGUAUCCAGAUUAAAUUUAUGUUUGGUUUCCACGUUCCAUGCCCGAGACCUCAGCUUUUUUUUUUCUUUGGUGUUAUAACUGUUGUGGGUUCUUGUAAAAGGCUCAUAUUGAACCUAUACCAAUUAGGAUACUAGUAGUGAUGAGCAGACUUCAGUAGGGGGAUUUGAUGUUUGAGUGGCCUUUUCUUCAAGGCAUCCUCAGAUGCCAUUGUAUAGAAACGUAGUAACAUAAGAAUGUCUAGGUAGGUUAACAAACUAAAUUGUAACCUACUGGCCUUUGGGAUUUUAUGUCUCAAGUAAAAUCUUUCGACUUUCUUCUUCUUAGUGGAAAAAUCUAUUUACUUAAUAGGAUUUUGAUAAACUGAAAUCUGUAAUAUAUUGAAAUUGUGAUGGGCACACAGAUACACAUGUAGAUGAAUGGUUGGGCAUUUCCAUGCAGUAAUAAUAUUUUAUCAAACCCUCUUAGGAUAACCUAGUAAAAGUUUCUGGCAGGUCAGUCUAAACUUUAAAGGAAAGAUUGUCUUUGCCUCUUGGAUCGAUUAGCAGUUCAAUGAUAGAGUAGGAACAUCGAUCAUGUACAUAAAUGUUUUUGUAAUUUUCAAAAUCAAUGCCAGGAUUUUUUUUUAUUUUUAUAAUGGCUUGGUCUAAUUAGUUGUGUGAAUAAUAUGCAUGCCCCGCACAUUCUCCAUAUACAUUGAGAUUUGCAGCUUGUUUUAAUAUGGAUUACCACUCCCCUCCUUUGGUCUCUUCUCUUUCUGUCGGUCAAUAUGGUGAAUCUUAUCAUUAUUAUUUUUUGGACCAGAUGUGUAAUUUGCCAGAUGGAAUAUAAAAGAGGUGAGAGACAGAUUACCCUACCUUGCAAGCAUGUCUACCAUGCUGGGUGUGGCACCAGAUGGCUUAGCAUCAACAAGGUAACGUACUUUCCCCCCCUUUUCAUGAUUGAAAUCAUAAAACAUUUCCCUCCCCCCUCCACAAAAGUAAAAAAAUAAAAAAAUCAAGCGUUAAGAACAUGGAUCUUUAUUCCAUUUAUUUAGGCAGCAUUUUAGGAAGCUGCUAAUUGAAGCUUUAUUUCUUCAGGCUUGCCCUAUAUGUUAUACGGAGGUGUUUGGCAAUGGAUCAAAACAUUAAGGGACAAUGACGAUGAAUAUAAAGAAAAUAUUCGUAUGCUAUCAAUAUUUUUGGGUUGGAUUUGGGUAUUUACCCCUAAUACGAAGAUGUUCUAUUUCGACCUUUUACUUUGUUUAACAGAAGAAUAGUUGAUUGACUUUUGCAAUAAUUGAAAGGGAGUAUGGAUAUGGUAGAAGAUGGAUGUGUUAACUAGAAAAAGCCGGGGUGUAUAGAGUCUUCGAUAAUGUUUGUCGUAUUCAAAUUAUUGUCCAUUUCCUAUGCAUUUUCCUCAUUAUCGCACACUUUUGAGAAUGUGAUUAAUCUCAAAUAGCAAAGAAGUUUUAGGGUGCUCUCAGCGGCAGGGAGAAUAACCCUUGCUGAAUGACUACUGAAGUUCGAAUUUCUUUCUUAACUUUGGGGCUUCGGGUGUGGGAUAUAUGGGAGAAGGGAGAGUACAAUUUGUUAGUAACGUUGGGCUACUUUUUUUUAUUUUUCUUUUAAGGAUAUUAGUAUAUUAUAAUUAUAAAAUUAAAGCUUCAAUAAUCACUCUUAUUGUUGAUCAAUUCCAACAAUAAAUUAAUCACAGUAGUUAGGGAACGAGAAUGUGAUGCCUAAAUUAGCAAUUUCGUGGAAUCCCACAUCUCUCUCUUUUUUGGUUCGAAGGAUAAUACAUGGAAUCUCACAUCUGAAAUUGUUAAUUAUUGGCAUUCACGUGAAAAUGAACCCAACACAUUUGAAAAGAAAAGAAAAACAAAAAAAUCUUCAUUAUUACAACAAAAAAAUCCCCACAAAAAGGAAAGGGCGACAGUUUUAUUUGAACUGAAGAUUCUUUUAUUCUGUCCUUGUAAAAGUUAAAUUGGUCGGCCCGUCUUUUGAUCCGGCUUGUUUAGAAUCAUUGAUUAAGUCCACAAGAAAGACGGACAAUCAGUUUGUUUUAAUUUUCAAUCUCAAUUUUAACUUAGAUAUAUGAGAUUCGAAUAGGAGCAUGUUUGAUUUUGAUGUAUUUAUAUUAAUAAUUUUAAUUUAUUUAUAACUUCUAUUUCUAUCAAACUUUUAGUGCAAAAAAGGUUCCAACAAUAUUUACAAAUUUCGAUUGAAGUCUUAACCAAAAGCAAAUUAAAUGGAAAUAUCAUAAUUUUGUGCAACCACAAAAUAGAAUAUUAAUAUUUGUAAUAAGAUACGUUAAUGUGGGAAUAUUAUGUACAUCAUCAGUGAAUAACAAUAUGAUAUUUUAUAUUAAGUAAAAUGUGGUCAUGACCAGUUUGUCUUAGUUUGAAGUAUUAACGGUGGUGGUCUCUAAGUCACAAUAAAUUGCAUCUAUAUGGUAGGAAACUCCUUGAGCACGAUGAUAUAAACUUAAUACGUAUGAGAGAGUUGAAAUGCGAUCUAGAAGUGUGACGGCGGGAUAGUAAGAUAUCACCAGGGCGACUGAGUAUUUGGCUAUGGCCGCAACAUAAGCGUUAGCUCAAUCCUAGAGACAAAACUUCGAGAAAUUGUUGAUGGGCUAGAAACGACUUGGGAGAAGGGGGUGCAUUGGCUGCUAAUUAAGAGUGAUAGUAAAACAACAGUAGACCUAAUACUUGGAGCCGAAGUGAUGGGAUUGUCGAGAUUGGCAUUGGAGAUUCGCAACUGGAUGAUAAGGAAUUGGCAAGAUGUAAUGUUGAGAGAUAAGUGUUGCGUAACUAGUCUAUUGCUAUCCGUUGAGCAUUAUAGUUCAACUUCUUUUUGUAACUAAUAGAAAAUCUUUACUUAAAUAUAAGUAAGUAUUAAUAGUAAUUUUUAUAUAUUUUUUCAAAGAAAUCUCAAAUCUUAGAUUCAAAUAAUUAUAAUUGAUUAUGUUUAAAUAACAUUAUUCUUUAUAUUUUUAUUUAAUGGUAAUAUGUUAUCACUAAUAAUGUAUGAUAUUUGCACACUAAUGAUGCAUUAAAUAUUAUCCAUAUUAUUAGUUUAUGUAUUCUUAAAGAUAGUUUAAGGGUUUCGUUUGUGGGGAUAAUGGUAUAUAAAAUUAGCAGCGACCCAAAUAUGCUAAAAAGUCUGGGUGUUCAUAUUUUCUUCGGUAAAAGUAUUGGGAUUAAAAAAAAUUAAAUUAACCCUUAUAUAGUUUGUAACAUGUAAAUUAAUUUUUUAUUAGAUUUUUUUCUAUUAAAUAAUGAUAUGAAAUAUUAUGUUUUAUAGGCAAGUUAUAAAUAUGGUUAUCCGACUAUACCUUUUGUUCUAUUUUAGAUACCUAAUUAUUAUUAUUAUUUUUUGUAUUUAGUCACUAAAUUUUUCAAAAUUUAAUAUUUUAGUCACGGUAAAUAUUUUAGUCAUGCUAGAUUUACGUAAAAUUUUCUAUUUAAUGUUAUACAUCAUCAUUUAACAGAAAAAAAUGAACGAAAAAUUAAUUUACUCGUUUUAAAUGUAUAAUAACUAAUAUAUUUAUUUUCUCAAUAGAAAAAAAAAAACAGAAAUACAAUUCGCCAAGAGCUUGUUAUCUAUUUUAUUCUCUGGUACGCAAGAUUAUAUAUAUCAGGUAUACAUUAAGUAGCAAUAUUUUAAGGUAGCAGCAUAUGGUUACCAAUGUUUCUUUGCAUCAAACGCAUUUUCUCCAUCAAAACUUUCAACCACCAAACCCAACUGGUUGAUUGCAUAAAAACUUUGAUCAUACGGAGUUUGAAUUUUAGAGUAAAAUAACAUAUCCAAAAAUAACUUAAAUAGAAAACAAAACAGAAAUUCAAUCCCCUCUAGCCUCUAAAUGAAUUAUAAGAUGAGAAAUUUGCCAUUAAUUACACCUUAACUAAAAUAAGGGGAAAGCAUAAAAGAAGAUCCGACAAGUAGCUUAGACUAAUUCGUUGGUUAAAAGCAUACAAUACCUAAAUCCUUCAUCUUUGAAGCAUUAAAAGCGAGCAGGUAAGAUAUGAAAGGGUCAAAUAAAUAAAUUUUAGUUCUACUAAUGAUUUAUAUUUACCGGCGACAGCCUGCAUGUUGAGUUUAAACCAUAUUAUUAUAGAUGUACUGCAAAGUCAUCAUGUUGAGACCUCUUCUUUCGGCUUGAACGCGUUGGAGUUUUAUUAAUGACAGUAACCCAUUUUUAUAUUUACAUACUUCCAGGGAAACAGCCAAUCGUGAUGGCAAUUUGGAGUUUUAUUAUAUUAAGGUCAGAUGCUAGUGUAUUGGAAAAACAUUUAUAUCCAGCUUGCUAUCUUGCCUAUAUUAAAUUCAUCAAUGAGUAUAUAAGGGGGCUUUCUCUUCUCCAUGGAUAUAUGCCUUUUAACAGUUGAUUGAGUAAUUAGCUUCCUAGCAUUUAGAAUUGUAUUGCCAGGGAAAUGGGGACUUCAGCACACCCACCGCCCCACUGGCCUCCACUCCUCUUUGCUUUCACAUUUUGCCUUGUAGCAACAAUUGCGGUUGCUUAUCAACCUUACGAAUAUUCCUCUCCACCAAAGCACCCUGCCUACAAACAUUAUUCUCCUUACUAUUACAAUUCACCACCUCCUUACUACUACAAGUCUCCACCUCCACCAUCUCCCUCACCACCUCCUCCUUACUAUUACAAAUCACCACCACCCCCUUCACCUAGUCCCCCACCACCAUACUACUACAACUCACCACCUCCACCAUCUCCUUCACCACCUCCUCCUUACUAUUACAAGUCUCCACCCCCACCCUCACCUAGUCCCCCACCACCAUACUACUACAAGUCACCACCUCCACCGUCUCCCUCACCACCUCCUCCUUACUAUUACAAAUCACCACCACCCCCUUCACCUAGUCCCCCACCACCAUACUACUACAACUCACCACCUCCACCAUCUCCCUCACCACCUCCUCCUUACUACUACAAAUCACCACCACCACCUUCACCUAGUCCUCCACCACCAUACUACUACAAGUCACCACCUCCACCAUCUCCCUCACCACCUCCUCCUUACUACUACAAAUCACCACCCCCACCUUCACCUAGUCCUCCACCACCCUACUACUACAAGUCUCCACCUCCACCAUCCCCUAGUCCCCCACCACCAUACUACUACAAAUCACCACCCCCACCAUCUCCUAGCCCUCCACCACCAUAUUACUACAGGUCCCCACCUCCACCAUCUCCUAGUCCACCAUCACCGUACUACUACAAGUCACCACCACCCCCUUCACCUAGUCCCCCACCACCAUACUACUACAAGUCACCGCCUCCACCAUCUCCUAGUCCCCCACCACCAUACUCUUACAAGUCACCACCACCACCAUCUCCCUCACCACCACCUCCAUACUACUACAAAUCUCCUCCUCCACCGUCUCCAUCACCCCCUCCUCCUUACUACUACAAAUCACCACCACCUCCUUCUCCAUCACCCCCGCCACCUUACUAUUAUAAGUCACCUCCUCCACCACCUCCUUAUCACUACUAGUCACCUCUCCUUGAGUGAAAUUUCCACCUCAUUAUUACCCUACAUCACCACAGUUUCAAAGGGCCACUAAGCUAAGUUAAUAUUUAAUCUCUUUACACGGGUUGAAGAUUUGACAAGGAAGAAGAAUAAUUGUGGAAUUUCUUUGAUAAGCUUCUUGAACAUGUUUUUCAGUAUUCUUCAUUUAUAUAUGUAAAUUGU
rnacentral:lncRNA from 1 species